rnacentral:rRNA from 1 species
GACGAACGCUGGCGGCGUGCUUAACACAUGCAAGUCGAACGGAAAGGCCCUGCUCUUGUGGGGUGCUCGAGUGGCGAACGGGUGAGUAACACGUGAGUAACCUGCCCCUGACUUUGGGAUAACUUCAGGAAACUGGGGCUAAUAUCGGAUAGGAGCUCCUGCUGCAUGGUGGGGGUUGGAAAGAUUCGGCGGUUGGGGAUGGACUAGCGGCUUAUCCGCUUGUUGGUGGGGUAGUGGCUUACCAAGGCUUUGACGGGUAGCCGGCCUGAGAGGGUGACCGGCCACAUUGGGACUGAGAUACGGCCCAGACUCCUACGGGAGGCAGCGGUGGGGAGUAUUGCGCAAUGGGCGGAAGCCUGAUGCGGCGACGCCGCGUGCGGGAUGACGGCCUUCGGGUUGUAAACCGCUUUCGCCUGUGACAAAGCGUGAGUGACGGUAAUGGGUAAAAAAGCACCGGCUAACUACGUG